UACAGUCAUAUCACAUUGAAAUUCCAGUUCCCCUACAAUCACCAAAGUUAAGCAACAUCAAGCCUGAUUAGUAAUUAGAGGGGUGACCUCUUAGGAAUACCAGGUGCUGUAA